rnacentral:rRNA from 1 species
UACGUAGGGGGCAAGCGUUGUCCGGAUUUAUUGGGCGUAAAGAGCGUGUAGGCGGCCUGAAAGGUCAGCUGUGAAAACUCGAGGCUCAACCUCGAGACGUCGGUUGAAACCAUCUGGCUAGAGUCCGGAAGAGGAGAGUGGAAUUCCCGGUGUAGCGGUGAAAUGCGCAGAUAUCGGGAGGAACACCCGUAGCGAAGGCGGCACUCUGGGCCGAUACUGACACUGAGGAGCGAAAGCGUGGGGAGCGAACAGG